rnacentral:rRNA from 1 species
UACAGAGGGUGCGAGCGUUGUCCGGAAUUACUGGGCGUAAAGGGCGCGUAGGCGGUGCUCUAAGUCAGGCGUGAAAGCCCUGGGCUCAACCCGGGAAUUGCGCUUGAUACUGGAGCGCUUGAAUCCAGGAGAGGUUGGUGGAAUUCCCAGUGUAGAGGUGAAAUUCGUAGAGAUUGGGAAGAACACCGGUGGCGAAGGCGGCCAACUGGACUGGUAUUGACGCUGAGGCGCGAAAGCGUGGGGAGCAAACAGG